AUUGAACGCUGGCGGCAUGCUUUACACAUGCAAGUCGAACGGUAACAGGCCGCAAGGUGCUGACGAGUGGCGAACGGGUGAGUAAUGCAUCGGAACGUGCCCAGUCGUGGGGGAUAACGCAGCGAAAGCUGCGCUAAUACCGCAUACGAUCUCUGGAUGAAAGCGGGGGACCGAAAGGCCUCGCGCGAUUGGAGCGGACGAUGUCAGAUUAGGUAGUUGGUGGGGUAAAGGCUCACCAAGCCAACGAUCUGUAGCUGGUCUGAGAGGACGACCAGCCACACUGGGACUGAGACACGGCCCAGACUCCUACGGGAGGCAGCAGUGGGGAAUUUUGGACAAUGGGCGCAAGCCUGAUCUAGCAAUGCCGCGUGCAGGAAGAAGGCCUUCGGGUUGCAAACUGCUUUUGUACGGAACGAAACGGUCCUGGUUAAUACCUGGGGCUAAUGACGGUACCGUAAGAAUAAGCACCGGCUAACUACGUGCCAGCAGCCGCGGUAACAC
rnacentral:rRNA from 1 species